rnacentral:rRNA from 1 species
CAGUCGCCGCGGUAAUACGAAGGGGGCUAGCGUUGCUCGGAAUGACUGGGCGUAAAGGGCGCGUAGGCGGCGAUCAAAGUCAGGCGUGAAAUUCCUGGGCUCAACCUGGGGGCUGCGUUUGAUACUUGGUUGCUAGAGUGAGGAAGAGGGUCGUGGAAUUCCCAGUGCAGAGGUGAAAUUCGUAGAUAUUGGGAAGAACACCGGUGGCGAAGGCGGCGACCUGGUCCUUGACUGACGCUGAGGCGCGAAAGCGUGGGGAGCAAACAGGAUUAGAUACCCCUGUAGUCCCUGUCUCUUAUAC